rnacentral:rRNA from 1 species
UUCAGAUUGCAGGCUGCAACUCGCCUGCAUGAAGUCGGAAUUGCUAGUAAUCGUAGGUCAGCAUACUACGGUGAAUACGUUCCCGGGCCUUGUACACACCGCCCGUCAAACCAUGAGAGUUGGCAACACCCGAAGUCGGUAGUCUAACCGCAAGGAGGACGCCGCCGAAGGUGGGGUUGAUGAUUAGGGGUUAAGUCGUAACAAGGUAUC